rnacentral:lncRNA from 1 species
AUGCCACCACGUGGAGGAGGAAACCUCUCCACUGAAAGAGAAAACUUACUGCUGCUUUCUGAAUCCCACAGAGUGCAAGAUAAAUCCAUCUGCAGAGAAAAAAAAAGAAUAAAUAGAGUAUGCAAGUUUUGCAGACAGCUUUUGCAGGCACCUGACAUCAGCUGCACACCUCUGUCCUGCCUGCAGCUGCUGCCAGAAAUUUUUGCCAUUCCCAUGUCUGUCCUGGAAGAAGUUGUCACUCUGCUGUUUGGAGAUUGUGGGCACAGGCAGCAGCUUGAGAACAGUCUUGGGCUUCAGGAGCUCCAGCUUUACCUGCUCACUUCAUAGGGCUGUCACCAUGAGGAAUUCACUGAGCCACCUGGCUGGGUUUCUCCUGCACUGAGUGGCACGAGCAGCACAAAGCUGGGAAAAUUCAAACAACAACUUCUCAGGGACUCAGCUCAUGUCUAGUGCCAUGGUCAUGGAAUGGCCUACAUGUACCCUUUCAUCUUCUAGUUAGAAACAAAACAGGAAAAUUAUCAUUUCUCUUACCCUGCCUCCCAUAAGAAAAGGAGUAAGGAGAGCAGAGAUUCCUGAAGCUUAUGGAGAGUAGCUAAAUAUUAUUGCAGACUGACCAAGCCUUGUAUUCAGCCAUCCCUGCUCUCCCUCCAGUGUUUCUUCUGCCUAACAGCACUGGUCAAAUCCAUGGUGCUCAUAUCUCCAGUGGGCAUAUUCUGCAGCAGAGUUUUGAUUACAUGAAGUGGGUGUUAGCUUCAUCCAGUGCCGUAAUUCUGAAGGUGGGACUGCAGGUUCCCUCCUCUACCCUGAUCUGGAGAUGUCCUGGGGCAGACAAACCUAUGCACUCACACAGAGGCAGUGGGGGAAUUAGGGACAGAUUUUUGAAGCCUGUGUCUUUUCUCCUGAUGCUGAAAGAGCCAGGAUCUAGCUGGCAGAGCACAGUGCUUUCCUCAUUCUGCAGAGCAAGCUGAGAUAUGGGUUCCAUUGAUUCUUCUUGCAAGUCAAAUCCAAUGCUUUGAUUACUUCAUGAGGGACCUGUGGGAACAGAAUCUGACAUGCUGCAUCUCUCCCUUAAACUAACAUGGUCCUACUACAGUGGAAGUUUGGGGGAUUAGUAGCACUUAAUGACACAGUUCUUUGAGUAGUAUAAAUCUUCCUCAUUCUCAGGUUGGAAGAGUCACAAGGUAAUGACAAAUAUUUGUUCUCUUUAAUGUGUGUACCAAGGGAGGAGAGCCCGGCUCCUUCCAGCUUUCCUCCUCCAUCCCUCUGACAGCUUCAACACCACCUGCUCUUAGAGCAAAGUGGGCACAGAAAUAAAAUCCAAGCUGAUUUUUGGACGGGCA